GUUUGAGAAAUCUAUCGUCACAUUCUUACUGCACAGUAAAGUGUCAAGGGCUGUAAAGAUUUAAGUGUGACCUCUUCAUCCCACCGGUAUGGUGGGAUAAAAACUGAAAAUACAGGUAUGCUCCAGCUAUAAAUAGAAGAGAUACUGGAAUACUUCUUGGUGAAAAGAAGCAGUGUCAUUACUUUUUGUCAUGCACAAUUUUUGGAAUAAGGUUUUACUUCAGAGAAGUCAGGCAGAUCCAUAUAUGAGAAAUCUUAAUUGUCCUCAUAAAGACACCCAUAUUAAUGAAUCAAACCAUUUAAUUUAUAAUAUGAAAAUAAAGGCAGCAACUGACAGUUAUAAAUUUCAGUAUCACUUUAAAAUGUAAUACUGUUGAUAUUGCUGUAGUGUGUUGAUUACAUGUGAUUUCCUUAAAAAAAUUUUUUUUGAGGUGUUAGUGUCACUUAAACUUACAGAAUUAACUUAUAGAAACAAGUUUUGUGAAACUGUUCAGGCAUUUGAUAUAAGACAUACAUAUUAGAAUAAAGAGUUUUGGAGACUGAAUUUAGACUUAAAAAUUCAGCUACUGAUUUUCAAAUGUUUAACCUAGAAGUGUGUGCAUAUUAGAGAUAUUAGAGACACCAUGUAGCUGUUUAAUUCU
rnacentral:lncRNA from 1 species